rnacentral:rRNA from 1 species
UGCACCACUCCUACGGGAGGCUGCAGCAACGAAUAUUCCGCAAUGGACGCAAGUCUGACGGAGCGACGCCGCGUGCAGGAAGAAGUCCCUCGGGAUGUAAACUGCUGUCAGGGGUGAGGAAAAAUGACCAGCCCCAGAGGAAGCAUCGGCUAACUCCGUGCCAGCAGCCGCGGUAAUACGGAGGAUGCGAGCGUUGUUCGGAAUCACUGGGCUUAAAGCGCGUGUAGGCGGCUUGUUACGUGUCGGGUGAAAUCCCUCGGCUCAACCGAGGAACGGCCCGGCAAACUGGCUUGCUUGAGGUACGUAGAGGUGACUGGAACGACGGGUGGAGCGGUGAAAUGCGUAGAUAUCCGUUGGAACGCCGGAGGCGAAAGCGGGUCACUGGGCGUAUCCUGACGCUGAGACGCGAAAGCGUGGGUAGCAAACAGGAUUAGAUACCCUA